GUAUCCCAGUUCCCCGUUCCACGCUUCUUGGAAUGGCAUGACUGUUUCCUGUGGCUCGUUAUGUAGCUCCUUGUAUAGUAUAGAUAGUGUGCGUUUGGCUGGUUUUGGUGAGAGGCAUAGUUGCUCUAACUUACACCCUUGUUGCUGUGUUGUGUUCUUUACUUCCAUCCCCUUGAGAAAGGACUUCAAUUGUAGAAAUGGGAAUAUGGCUCUGUUUGGGAGGUGGUAUAGUUCUUGG